rnacentral:rRNA from 1 species
ACUCAAAUGAAUAGACGGGGGCUCACACAAGCGGUGGAGUAUGUGGAUUAAUUCGAAGCAACGCGCAGAACCUUACCAGGGUUUGACAUGGUUGGAUGGCUUACUGGAAACAGUGUAGUCUGCCCGCAAGGGUGAAACUUCCACAGGUGCUGCAUGGCUGUCGUCAGCUCGUGUCGUGAGAUGUUGGGUUAAGUCCUCUAACGAGCGAAACCCUUGUCGUUAGUUACCAUCAGUUCAGCUGGGGACUCUAACGAGACUGCCGGUGUUAAACCGGAGGAAGGCGGGGAUGACGUCAAGUCCUCAUGGCCUUUAUGCCCUGGGCCUCACACGUACUACAAUGGCGGCUACAAAGCGAUGCAAGACCGCGAGGUGGAGCAAAUCGCAGAAAGGUCGCCCCAGUUCAGAUUGCAGGCUGCAAUUCGCCUGCAUGAAGUUGGAAUCGCUAGUAAUCGCGGAUCAGCUACGCCGCGGUGAAUGUGUUCCUGAGCCUUGCACACACCGCCCGU